rnacentral:rRNA from 1 species
AUGCCAAUGAUGGUCUGGAUCUGGCUGGUGAUGGUGUGGAUGAAGGCCCGCUCUGGGUCGCGCUCUAACUCCGCGUACUCGUCCGUCCCGGGCUCCGGCAUGCGGCGCCGGCUCACCGUCGGCCGGUUCGGGAGGAACCCCGCGUAUGGGUACUGCCCGAAGUUGACCGCCGCGUGCAGCGCCGAUCCGAUCCAGAUGAUGGUGGUGCACGCCUUGGCCAGCUCGCCCACGGCUUGCAUCCUCGGCCACCAUGGCGCGUCCUUGAGGUCGCCGUGCCCAACCUCGCGCGCCUCCUUCCACCACGCCUGCAGCUCCACGUCGCCCUGCACCACGCCGUCGUCCGGGUAG